GAUGAACGCUGGCGGCGUGCCUAACACAUGCAAGUCGAGCGAUUCUCUUCGGAGAAGAGCGGCGGACGGGUGAGUAACGCGUGGGUAACCUGCCCUGUACACACGGAUAACAUACCGAAAGGUAUGCUAAUACGAGAUAAUAUACUUUUAUCGCAUGGUAGAAGUAUCAAAGCUUUUGCGGUACAGGAUGGACCCGCGUCUGAUUAGAUAGUUGGUAAGGUAACGGCUUACCAAGGCGACGAUCAGUAGCCGACCUGAGAGGGUGAUCGGCCACAUGGUAACUGAGACACGGGCCAAACUCCUACGGGAGGCAGCAGUGGGGAAUAUUGCACAAUGGGCGAAAGCCUGAUGCAGCAACGCCGCGUGAGCGAUGAAGGCCUUCGGGUCGUAAAGCUCUGUCCUCAAGGAAGAUAAUGACGGUACUUGAGGAGGAAGCCCCGGCUAACUACGUGCCAGCAGCCGCGGUAA
rnacentral:rRNA from 1 species